CCUACGGGAGGCAGCAGUCGAGAAUCAUUCACAAUGGGGGAAACCCUGAUGGUGCGACGCCGCGUGGGGGAAUGAAGUUCUUCGGAUUGUAAACCCCUGUCAUGUGGGAGCAAAUUAAAAAGAUAGUACCACAAGAGGAAGAGACGGCUAACUCUGUGCCAGCAGCCGCGGUAAUACAGAGGUCUCAAGCGUUGUUCGGAAUCACUGGGCGUAAAGCGUGCGUAGGCUGUUUCGUAAGUCGUGUGUGAAAGGCGCGGGCUCAACCCGCGGACGGCACAUGAUACUGCGAGACUAGAGUAAGGGAGGGGGAACCGGAAUUCUCGGUGUAGCAGUGAAAUGCGUAGAUAUCGAGAGGAACACUCGUGGCGAAGGCGGGUUCCUGGACAUUAACUGACGCUGAGGCACGAAGGCCAGGGGAGCGAAAGGGAUUAGAUACCCCAGUAGUC
rnacentral:rRNA from 1 species